CCGUCGCCAUUGUCUCAAACAAUCACCAAAAAGUGCAAAAGGCCAAAAUCUCUCUCAAACGAGAAAUGAAAACGGAAAAGGAAAUGGAAAUUGAAAUGCUUUUACGCGUCCAUCUAUUUAAUGGAAGUAACGGUGGUGGAAGCUAACGUGAGCCGACGGUGCCAAACCGAAGCAGAAUAAGGGAGAUUUCUGGACUGCAAAAGAACGAAAUAAAAAGGAGGAUCAA
rnacentral:misc_RNA from 1 species